rnacentral:rRNA from 1 species
ACACAUGCAAGUCGAGGGGCAGCAUGGUCUUAGCUUGCUAAGGCCGAUGGCGACCGGCGCACGGGUGAGUAACACGUAUCCAACCUGCCGUCUACUCUUGGACAGCCUUCUGAAAGGAAGAUUAAUACAAGAUGGCAUCAUGAGUCCGCAUGUUCACAUGAUUAAAGGUAUUCCGGUAGACGAUGGGGAUGCGUUCCAUUAGAUAGUAGGCGGGGUAACGGCCCACCUAGUCUUCGAUGGAUAGGGGUUCUGAGAGGAAGGUCCCCCACAUUGGAACUGAGACACGGUCCAAACUCCUACGGGAGGCAGCAGUGAGGAAUAUUGGUCAAUGGGCGAGAGCCUGAACCAGCCAAGUAGCGUGAAGGAUGACUGCCCUAUGGGUUGUAAACUUCUUUUAUAAAGGAAUAAAGUCGGGUAUGGAUACCCGUUUGCAUGUACUUUAUGAAUAAGGAUCGGCUAACUCCGUGCCAGCAGCCGCGGUAAUACGGAGGAUCCGAGCGUUAUCCGGAUUUAUUGGGUUUAAAGGGAGCGUAGAUGGAUGUUUAAGUCAGUUGUGAAAGUUUGCGGCUCAACCGUAAAAUUGCAGUUGAUACUGGAUAUCUUGAGUGCAGUUGAGGCAGGCGGAAUUCGUGGUGUAGCGGUGAAAUGCUUAGAUAUCACGAAGAACUCCGAUUGCGAAGGCAGCCUGCUAAGCUGCAACUGACAUUGAG